rnacentral:rRNA from 1 species
UACGAAGGGGGCUAGCGUUGCUCGGAAUCACUGGGCGUAAAGGGUGCGUAGGCGGCUUUUUAAGUCAGGGGUGAAAUCCUGGAGCUCAACUCCAGAACUGCCUUUGAUACUGAAGAUCUUGAGUUCGGGAGAGGUGAGUGGAACUGCGAGUGUAGAGGUGAAAUUCGUAGAUAUUCGCAAGAACACCAGUGGCGAAGGCGGCUCACUGGCCCGAUACUGACGCUGAGGCACGAAAGCGUGGGGAGCAAACAGG